AUCUUUUUGUAGUUCAUAAGCAUAAUGACUGGGUUUUUAUAUGCAUGGGUGAAAUGUGCUUCUUUCAAACAUGUUACAAUGUCAGCACAUCACCCACCCGAAA